rnacentral:rRNA from 1 species
GACGAACGCUGGCGGCGUGCUUAACACAUGCAAGUCGAACGCAGAGGGAUGGAGGCUUGCUUCUUUCAAUCUUAUGCGCACGCGGGAGUGUAACGCGUAUUCCACCUCCUCUUCAGGGGGGUACAACAGUUGGACACGAGCGCUUAUACCGCAUACGAUCUAAUCCCGGCAUCUAUGUUUGAUGAAAGCUGGUGCCUGCAUGUAAGCUAUCACUGCGGUGGGUGAUUGCGUCGGAUUAGCUAGUAGGCGGGGAAACGGCCCACCAAGGCGAUGAUCAGUAGCCGGUCUGAGAGGAUGAACGGCCACACUGGGACUGAGACACGGCUCAGACUCCUACGGGAGGCAGCAGUGGGGAAUCUUCCGCAAUGGACGAAAGUCUGACGGAGCAACGCCGCGUGAGUGAAGAAGGCUUUCGGGUUGUAAAGCUCUGUUGAUCGGGAAGAAAGGGCUUCUUGCGAAUAGGGAGAAGGAGUGACGGUACCGGAACAGAAAGCCACGGCUAACUACGUG